UAACACAAAGUGCAGAGGACAGGCCAU
rnacentral:piRNA from 1 species